AUAUAUGGAUAUUUUCAAUAAAAAGAUAAUCUGUUAUUAUCCAUUUAAUAUCUGAUAUGUCCCUUUAUCUGGGGACCAAAUAUAAAAUGGAUUUUUGGAACAGGGAGAUGGAAGAAGAGCUUGCUCUGUCCACUCCACGCAUUGACCUGGUAUUGCAAUACUCCUCUCUUUUGCUGUGUGACAAAA